GAAGGUUGCCCCUGAGCUUCCUUUUCCAGAAUAAAAAAACUCCUACCACAUCUUCUAAUUGCUUUUAAAGGGGAGAAAAUGGGAAAACCCAUUUUCUGCUUUCCCGUUUAUUCCAAGUAUGCAAAAUUAAUUUGCCAGUUCUUGCUAGCUUUUCCUUGUUAGUAUGUUUUCCUGCAGUUUGCAUUAUCAUUUGUUUAAUGUAUUACAACAUCCUAUUUACUCCUGUUAAUAGUUUCAAGACCUUGACAUUUUCAAGACCUUGUAGUUCUCAAGACCUGGGACAUACGUUCCCUAGGAUUUCAAAGGUAAUGGCCUUUGUUUUAUGAAUCAUGCUUCUAGCACAACGUUCACUAGAUUCAGUAGCAGCAGUGUUAGGCCCAUACUGUUACAUCUUGCAGCAAAUAUAAAUAUAUGUUUAUUGAAUAUGAUAUUAAAUAUCCUCUAGCAAUUAGCCCUCCUUAUUGAUUGGUUCAAUGGCAAUAUAUACAAGUCAGUUCUCUUCCUGUAUCUCAAGUGUUCAAAGUGUAUUUAAUCACGAAUAGCCAUCUUACCAAGCAUGAAGCAAUCUGUGGAUCACAAAACCUGGACAUUUUACAGAUUUUGUAUGUUUUAUUUUAAAAUUAUACACUAAAAAUCUAUUUUCUGAUUUUUCCCUGUGAAUUUUGUUGAAAUUUGUGAAAAUUGUGAAAUUGCUUUGAUGCCUUGUUUCCUGACAUAGAUAUGCUUGCCCUUUUUUUUUUUUUUUCUUAUUUUUUUUUCUUUUUUUGUCUGGUACAAGAGUCACAAACUAUAAGCAAAAAAAUAAAGCCUUUCUGUCAUUCCAGUAUCUACUUCCAGUUUUAUGUGACAGAGUAUCUCAUACACAGGCACCAAAGUUGUUAGGAGUUGAUAGACUUGAUAAAAACACCAUUAUUUUCCUGAGAACAAAUGGGCCCAAGCAUCUCUUCACGAUACUGCCUUGAAUGGUAUAGCCUAACAAAAAGUUUGACAAAGUUAUGCUAUACCUUAAAAAAGCCUUUGAAGGAGUGACAUAGUCCUCAGAUACACUUUCUAUAUGAGCAGCGCCCUCUUUGCUGAGCCUCCUGAAGCAGCUGGCAACCCAAACAUGGGGGCAUCUGCACAUUGGUCAUAAUACGGCGUAUUAUUACUUUCCAACAUUUUUCUGUUUGAGUUUCACAGAUCAAUGCUCCAGAGAUGUGUUAGUCACCCUCAGGUCAUAAUUAAGAUGGAAAACACCAUUCAAAGCAAGGGACAGCCCAAAGUCCUCCAAGAAGUUCUGCAAGCCGACAUGCUGGCUCCUGAAGACCUUACAGAACAGAGAACUACUUCAGAAGGAACUGGGGGAAAUGAUGCUUGAACACUGCUGCAUGCGCUAGGAAAACAAGAAUUCCUCCUCCAACAGAACACGCUUUGUUCAGCACCAGUAAUAUCACAGGUGAGGACCAAACGGAAAACCUUUCAACAUAAACAAAGAAAACAAUAUAACACAACUGGAAAGCUUUUCAUCUCUAGUGUCACACAGAGAUACUGUCAGGAUGAGAAGUUAACACAUGGAAGCCAGCUGUAGCAACUAAAUGUCUCAAGGAAACUUGUUCUUACAUAAUGAAAUCCAUUCACAAGGAAUAUCACAGAAAGUUGGAGUGACCUGAUAAAAGUCAGAAGAGAUUACCAGAUUUAUUCUUGGAAAGGCAAGAAAGUAAAGCUCAAAGCCUGACAGACUCUGAAAAUGAUGAAAAUGUGACUGUUAAUUCAAAAGUUUUAUUUCCAGAUGUUCAAAAAACUGAUUUUUAAAGAUAGCAUGUUGCAUAACAUGUUGGAAAACCACCUGUAAGUGUUCAUAAAACAAACUAAGAAAAAAUCAGACAAACAGUUAUGUUCAGAAAUAUAGCAGGAUUUGCCAUGAAAAACUAAAAUUAUCUGGGCAGGGCUCUGGCUUUGCCAUGAACUCAUUAUUAAGAAAACCAUGCUGCUCUGCUGCCCCUGGAGCAGCCAGGGAAACUAAUUUGAGAAAAUGGUGACUUACAGAAAGAGGUUAUUAUACUGAGUUUAUACCAAGUGUAUACCUCAGUGCAACAGUGUAGGUAAGUACAAGACGUAUUUGAUAUGUGGUAUGACAUUGCUCCUUGCCCCUUCUCACUGGUGUGCAUUGUCAAGAAGGCCAUGGAAGCAGCAAGGGGCAAUGUGGGAUCAUCUCAUAACAUGGUGUUUAUUAGAGGAGCAGCCUCUCAUACCUGCUAGGCUUGCCUGUGUGAGACUGUGUAUUGCAAACGUAACUAAUACUUUCCUGCUGCUGCUGAACCUCUAGUUGUUAUAAUGUGUUGGAAGUUCUAGCUAACAUUAUUCAUUCCAUUUAUCUGAAUAGAUAGAAGCUAGAAUUAGAUGAAGUGAUUGUUGUACUUUAGAAAUGACAAGUUAAAAGCUUACGCUACCCUUCCCAAAUGUUAACAGUAAACUGAUGUCCUUAAUUGGAUGUCAAAGUAGCAUAAAUGUUUAAAUCAUUUGAAGCCCUUAAUAGAGCCUAAUUAAAGGUAAAAUCAUGGUUCUAUGCAUUUCACAUGGGCUUUUGCUCAGGUCAAGUAAAAUUCAGAUCUGAACUCCAACUUUUAGGAAGCCCAUAAUAAAAUGAGUCUCAUUAAUGUCAAAUGGUUUUUAAUCAGGUCCCAAAUCAAGCAGUUUGACAUUAAUGAGACUCAUUUUAUUAAGGACUUUUAAAAUCAGGCCCAUACACAGACACAGGUUGAGUUAACAAAGUCUGUACAUGUGUGUAAUGCAUUUGUCUAUGAAUCUUGUGCUGUUUGCGCAGUUGGUCUGCAUAGCACAUGAUAAGGAGACACUGAAGACUGACCUUUAAACUUCAUUGAUUUUACUGCAAACCUCCUUAAAUUUUUUCUUUAUCUUAUAAUGGUUGCUUUAUUUUAUACUAGCUGCAAAUUCUCUUAAAAGUCAAACACGGGUCCCCAGGUUGUGAAGAUGUAAAACUGCCUAUAUUACACAUUUCUUGCUAGUCUCAUAAGGAGAAUGAGCAGUGAAAUUUGAACCUUCUUGGAUCUGUUUCUUCCAGCAAGACAAAACAAAAGGGCUGUACUGUGCUGGAGAUUUUGACAAUGUGAGUGCAGCAGCGCAUUGAAAGACCUUCAUAAUUAGAAUAGUCUUUCCACAUUUGGAUGCGGAUGUAUCCCUAUCUGUGAUUGAGGGGAAAAGUCUGCAUAACAUGCUCACACUUGUAAGAAAUAUAUUUUUGCACAAUUAGAACUAACAAUUGCUAAACACAAUUCUGCUUAGAUUCAUACGUAUCUUCAUACACACAUAUCUUCUGUGGAUGUCUGCAGGCAAAAAUCCAUAUAUUCAAAAGACAUUUUUUUUUCAAAUUUUUUUUUUCUUAUUAGAGCAAAUUGUUGUUUAAAAUGUUUUAAAAACUUAAGUAAAGUAUUUACUGCUAACUGAGCACUCACAUGAAACCAAGUUGUCCCCAGGGAAGAGAAGAUAUCAGUGCCAUCAGAUUUCCUUCAAGAAUAUGUUUGGUUUGAAAGUUUAGAAUUAAAAAAAUACUGUUGAUAUUCCAACAGUUCUUUUCAUGUUACUGCAUGACCUUUGUUAGGAGUGGUCAAUUGACUGACUCCAUUAUGUUUGUGUGUUUAGCAGAUGUUACACAGUAAAUUAUUUGUUUGUAAAGUUACCUGUAUGAUUUUGAAGCUUGAUAUUUCUAUUUGCUUUACAGACAACUUGAGAGAUUUCCUUGAUAGCAAAUCAGUAAAGCAGGAGUAGAAAGGCAUUGCUGCCAAGCCAAUAAACCAUCUUACAGAUGAAUGUUAGAGACCUUAAUUUUCCUUUCAGUUAAGUAUUUAAGGGCAGUUUUCUGAUUUCUAGGCUUUUAAACAUUUCUAUGUCUGGAGGACAAGAAUUAUGCUCAUAGCUGUGCCUUUCAGGACAGCAGUUUCUUACAUCAUUCACACAGUGCUUUGAAGGUCAGGCUGUGUAGAGGUGUCUGGUGUGACUGAGGAUAGAUUUUUGAAAGAUGCUCUGUCAGCCUGCAGUAAGUCAGUAUGCUUUUUCAGUAAGGAGACCAUGCGCUGCAUGUCUUCAUUAGUGACCUGGUUUUAAUUUCUGUGGUGGAGCUAAAUAAACAGGUGCCUAAGAUGAAGAGUGCUUUCCUUCUUCAACUUAUGCAAUGCAGGCUACUCUAUAUUUGAUAUUCUCAGUGCUGUUUUCUCUCUGCUUCACAGUUUGGUUCAGUUUUCCACCCUAAGCCACUUUGCAGAGAACAGAGGUAUAUCAGUGUUUGUAGAGUGUGCCAUCCCCUUCCUGCCUGGGAAGCAGGAACAGAGCAUGGGGUGCUGUUGUAAUGAUGACCUUUGGCAAGCUGAGAUGCAAAGCACCCGGCAGGAAUUUCCUCCAGCACAAAGGUAUUUAACAAAUUCUCCAAUUCCGUGGUGGAACCUAGUCAGUAGGUGGUCCACUUGUCUGACUGCCUUUGCUUAUCCUCCUCUUUCGCUUAGGGAAGCUGCAGUAAGAGAAGGAAAAACAAAACAAAACAAAAUAAAACAAAACAAAAAACAUUAAACUGGAAAGAUGUGUGAUCUGCAUAAUUGCUCUAAUUGCAGCUAGUUCUGCAAUGAAUAGUCCUGCUGUCAAAUUCAACAGUGACUUAGGGGAAAAAAUAUCUACAAAUUCUUUACUAUAACAUGAAAGACAUGAAAAAAACUCUUAUGAUCAUUGCCAUUCGGUUUAAAGGGCCAGUGACUAAUAAAAAAAGAGGGGAAACAGUGCCAUUAUUGAAUUAUUAAACUAAAGAUUAAAUUGGAAAGCAUAAAUACACAAAAUUAAAGUAUGCACCUCUCUGGCCUUUUUGAGGUGCACAAAUUGGUAUUAUCAGUCAUGCAUGACAGAGGUAGUGGUUCAUCAGCAGCUGGUAUUUUUAACAUAAUUGUAGCAAAUGGUGUUUCAAAAGUAGAGUACUCUAUAUGUUCUGCUGUCUCAGGACUCCCAAGGAAACAAAGAAAGAAAACUACGUGAGCUGUUGACAGAAGCAAAAUGUCCUUCACAGACCUGAAGGCGCGUUUAAGAGGAAGGAAAGGCAACCAGCCCUAACCCUGACACCAACUUUCUGUGGCCUUGCACUGAUCACCCCAUGUCUUUUUCUUGACUUCUUUGUCUUUAAAAUAGAGCACGCUUACCCAUCUCUUUUUAGUGUUGUAACACUUAGUGUCUGGAUGAUGCAUUUUCUAUAGAGGAGUAAAAGAUUUAUAGGCUUCUUUUAAAAUUUGUUGUUGAGACACAAACAGUGUGAUGAAACUUCUGCUCAUAUGUGCAGUUUUAUAGACUAGAAACACAAUCAAAGUAUCCAAAUCCAAUGCCCACUAAGAAAGAAGUGGCACCUGAGACAGAUGUUUGUUACAUUCAUAAAUGUGAUAUGCCCCUUUGGCAUAUCCUGACUUGAAAAAUGAAGAGUGUCCUUCCUAUUUUAUUUCUACUUCCAUUCUGUAGAGUUAGCACAGAAAUUAUUUUAUUUUCAUUUCUUCCCUUUGAAAAAAUGUGUACCUUCCUGUUUGUGGUGGGUUGACCCUAGCCAACAACAAAGCACUCGCCAGCUGCUCGUUCACUCCCUCACAUCCGGAUAGAGGAGAGACUCGGAAGAGCAAAUGUGAGAAGGAUAUAAUAGGUCAAGAUAAAGAAUUUUAAUAAAUAAAGGGAAAAAAAAAUGAUAUGACAGCAUAACAGCACUCACUUAACACCUCCCACAAGCAGACCAAAGCCCAGCCUGCCUCUGAGCAAAGACUACCUUUCAAAGAAGGCACACGUCUUUUAUUGCUAAGCAUGAUGUUAUCUGUCAUGAGAUACCCCUUUCAUCAGCUGGGGUCACUGGUCCAUGCUCUACCCUCUCCCAGCCUCUUGCACACCCCCAGCCUCCUUACUCAAUGGGGCAGAGUCAGAAACAGGGAAUGCCUUGAUGCUGCGCAGGCACUGCUCAGCAGUAGCUAAAACACGGGUGAAGUAUCAACAUUGUUUUGGUCACAGAUCUAAAGCAAAACACCAUAUAGGCUGCUGUGAAGAAAUUUAACUCCAUCUCAGCCAGACCCUGUACACUGUUGCAUCAUCUAAAGUGUGGUUGUUUGGUUUUGUUUGUUGUGUUUUCUUUGUGUAUAUUUGUUUAUGUUUGUUUGUUAGGUUGUUUGUUUUCCUGGGAUUUAGACUCAUUCUAAAGUUCCAAUGUUUUGUCAUCUCUUUGUAUGUAUAUGUUGGGUUGAGAUGACUUUAAGUGUAGUUCCAGGCACCUCAAAUGUUGAAAAACAAACGGCAUUUAGACUAGAGCUUGUUUCUACCUAACCUGAACCAAAUCCUUAGAUUCAAACAUACCAAAGUCAGAAAUGUUAACAUUUGCAUAUGAGCUUUUUUCUUGAUCACCAUAUUUCAUUGUGGAAGUGGGUAAAGUAAAGGAAAACAAGGUUAAAUAAAGUCAAAGUCUUGUCCAUGUGUAGUGGGAGCAGUCCUUUUAAAAAGUUUGAAAACACAGUGUGAUUUUUAAUGUUUUUAUUUUUGUGAAUUUUUGUACUUCCUUGUUUUUUUUCCAUGGUAGAAAGCUAAAAAGCCUCUUCUGGUGAAAUAUCUGUCCUGACUGGAAGCAGGAAGUACUGUAAAUGGCAUAAGAAAGCAUAUUAUCAUGACAUUUCCUGUCCAAUUUUGCUGACUGGAUAUUCAAUGCAAUCAUAUUCAAAAUGUCAACUGAUUUUGCCUUGUUCCAUGCCUCUCAUCACAUCCCUUUUCACAUCCUUCAUCUUCUGCUCCCUGUUUCUCUAUAGGGCACAUCUUGGUGCCUGUUUCAUACCUUCUCACAGAAAACUUUUCUGUUACGGAUAUAUAUAUGUAUCUAUACGUACGUACAUAUAUAUGUGUAUAUUCUUCAGUCAAGGUAGCAUGAUUAAUCAGAAUUAUUGAGCAGAAUGGCUUUGAAUAUUGGCUACUGAUACAGAUUCGUUUUAGUGUAAGAGCUAAUGCAGAACAAGCUGCUAUUUUUAGGCAUCAUUGAAAAAGUACAUGCACAUGAAUGGCUGGUAGAGAAUUCAUCUAUCUUCAUUGGGCACUUUCAGUUGAAUCCAGGCACCAAAUAAACAUUUCAGGAAAAAAAAAAAAAAAAAAAAAAAAAAAAAAAA